GCUUUAAAUUGUUAUUAUGCACAUGGAGAGCAAAACUCAAAUUUUCAGAGACGUAGCUUCUGGAUGCUGGACCCGGCAUAUGAGCAUAUUGUUCUUGUUCAUUAUAGAGAGAUUGGUGAGGGAAAGUCCACUACCGGACCUGCUGCACAGCUAUCACCAGCAUUCUCUUCCUCCUUCAGCCCAAGUCCAACAUCUUAUACUACUCAAAAUCAAGAUUCUACCUCUGCAAUUAGUGAUUUAUAUGACCCAUAUCGGAAUUCUUCCAGUCCAAGUUCUAUAGAAGUCAGUUCAGAGAUAGUCACCAAGGACAAUGGAUUAGACACUACAACAGAGUUUACUAGUUCUACAAAGGUUGAGGUUAGUCAAUAUUUGAGAAGGCUGGAGGAGCAGUUGAGUCUGAAUGAGGACAACAUCAAAGAAAUUGAUCCAUUAUGCAAUGAGGAAGGAGUCACAAAUGAUCCAGAACUUUUCGAAUUUGAAAAGGAGAUCUCCAAGAAGGAUAACUCGGCAAAUGUGCCACAUAGACUAGAAUAUGUUGUGAAUAAUCAAUGUUAUGAUGGACAUGAUGGGAUGCAGCUGCAGACCAACAAUCUUGUUCACCUUCAGAAUGCAGGUGAUGGUGGCGAAUACCAUCAACCAUAUGUACGCAAGUAUGCAGAUGGGAGUAAAGAAUCUGUGUCUUGGAAUGAAGUGUUGGAGUCCUGUGAAGCUUCAUCCGGUUUGGAGUAUGAGGAAAAGCCCCAGCCUUAUUUGAGGGAACCAGCUGAAGAGCAUGAGUAUUCUGGUUGGCUAAAUUUCGAUGAAAUUAAUGUCAGAAAUUCUUCUGUGUUGCUGCCUCAAGAAGUUGAAAAUUUUGAAAUUCCUGCUUACUCUUCUGUCAUGGGAACUCAUGAAACCAAUCCUGACUACUAUUCAAUGCUAUAUGACCAAGGCCAGCUUGGAGUGCCAAUUGAAGCAGAUUCAAGUUUGACUAUUGCACGACAGCAGAAAUUUACUAUCCGGGAAAUAUCCCCAGAAUGGGGUUUUACCUCUGAGGCUACAAAGGUGAUUGUUGUUGGAUCUUUUCUGGGUG
rnacentral:misc_RNA from 1 species